ACUGAAGAAGCUAGUCUGUUCACUACAGGAAAUGAGUCCAUCUUAGGGAAAUGUUUAGGUAUUAUGUUUAAAAAAGGAUACAAACCAGUGUAGUAUUCUGCAUUAAAAAAAUUACUGUCUGUAUAUCUUUUGGCCUCAGAUGUAGAAAGGGUGUCUGUUCUCUGCAGCUUAGAGAAAAAGAUAGUUGUUCUGGCCCUUAGGAGAAUAUUCUUAGGUACUUCACUCACAAGGAUGGAGAGUCCAAAACUUUAUCAAUAUGCUGGGAGAGAAAUGGAAUGGUUGUAAAACUGAUUCCCUAGGUAUCUGACAGCUUUGGAGUGGAGAAGAUGAGUAUGUUGGAGAUAAAUUAUAGAUUUGCUCUCAAACCCCCACACUUCACAUCCUGGAAGAAGCUAUGAAGAGGUGAAACAGCUGGUUGUUUGAAGCUGUCCAUUCUCAGAGAUAGAGAAAGGGAGAAAGAGAAACAUCAAUGAGAGAGAAGCAUCAAUUGGUUGCCUCCCAUACAUGCCCAGACCAGGGAUCAUACAUGCCAGGACGAGGAAUCAUACGUGCUCUGGACCAGGGAUGGAACCCACAACCUAGUUUUCAAAGUCUACCAGAAAUAUAAUCAACCAGUCUGGAAUUUUCUGAUCAACACCACUGAGGUAAUCUGUUGUCUCCAUCACACACCCUCCAUCACAGAAAGACGUCUGGUCCCAAAAUAAUCGUUUCUUGAACAAACUAAAUGAACAAACAAAAUUGAAGCAGGCAUAGAUACAGAGAACAGACAGAUGGUUCCCAGAGAAGAGGGGUGUUGAAGAACUGGGUGAAAAAGGUGAAGGGAUUAAGAAGUACAAAUUGGUAGUUACAAAAUAGUCACAGGGAUAUAAAGUACAGCACAGAGACUAUAAUCAAUAAUAUU